GGUCCCAUGGCCUAGUGGAUAAGGCUUCUGACUUCUAAUCAGACGACCCGGGUUCGAAUCCCGGUGGGAUCA